AUAUGGCUGUGAAGAUGAAUAAUCAGCUUAAUGCCAGUUCUGCUUCUGAAAAAUCGUGAUUGUUAGAGCUGUUAAAAUGUUCUGAGCCUCUU
rfam:Medicago truncatula strain A17 chromosome 1, whole genome shotgun sequence.